AGCGAAACUAUACCCCGUUCUUCCCAUCUCUGGGACGCCCCUGGAAUUCCCGCGGACCGGGGGGGCCGUUUCAAGCAGACGAUCUUAUGGUGAGUACCGAGUAUCUCCUUUUUUCCCAUGUAAAAGUGGGGGGCAGAUUGGCAUUGUUUCACCAUGCUUGGAACAUUUUAACCUCAGAUGUUUGGGUAUUAAACACAAUACAAGGGUACCUAUUGGAGCUAACCUCUCACCCUAUUCAGACGCAGUUCCCUCAGGAACUGACUAUGACCAAACACCACACAAUGAUCUCGGCAGAGGUCGCAGAGUUGGAGUCAUAAAACGAUAUUCAACAAAUCCCAUGGGACACAGAAGGGUUCAUGAGCAACCUGUUUCUGGUCCCCAAGAAAGGGGGCAGGGUUUGCCCAGUAAUCAAUCUCUGAUUGGAGACUAUUUU